rnacentral:rRNA from 1 species
AUUUUACCGCGGCUGCUGCACCCCGUAGGGAGUUUACCGCGGCGGCUGACACCAGAACUUGCCCACCCCUUAUUCACUAGUGUUUCUAGGACUAGCAAAAGGUUUCUUUAGCAGAAACCACUCGGAUUAACCUUGUCGUGCUUUCGCACAUUGCAAAGUUUUCUCGCCUGGUGCACCCCGUAGGGAAUC